AUUGAACGCUGGCGGCAGGCCUAACACAUGCAAGUCGAGCGGAUGAAGGGAGCUUGCUCCUGGAUUCAGCGGCGGACGGGUGAGUAAUGCCCAGGAAUCUGCCUGGCAGUGGGGGAUAAUGUCCGGAAAAGGGUGCUACUACUGCAUACGUCGUGAGGGAGAAAGAGGGGGAUGUUCGGACCUCUCGCUCUGAGAUGAGCCUAGGCCGGAGUAGCUAGCUGGUGGGGUAAAGGCCUACCAAGGAGAAGAUCCGUAACUGGUCUGCGUGGAUGAUCAGUCACACGGGAACUGAGACACGGUCCUGGCUCCUGCGGGAGGCAGCAGUGGGGAAUAUUGGACAAUGGGCGAGAGCCUGAUCCAGCCAGGCCGCGUGUGUGAAAAAGGUCUUCGGAUUGUAAAGCACGUUAAGUUGUGAGGAAGGGCAGUAAGUUAAUACCUUGCUGUUUUGACGGUACCGACAGAAUAAGCACCGGCUAACUUCGUG
rnacentral:rRNA from 1 species